rnacentral:rRNA from 2 species
UACGUAUGGUGCAAGCGUUAUCCGGAUUUACUGGGUGUAAAGGGAGUGUAGGUGGUCUGACAAGUCAGAGGUGAAAGCCCGGGGCUCAACCCCGGGACUGCCUUUGAAACUGUCAGACUAGAGUGCAGGAGAGGUAAGUGGAAUUCCUAGUGUAGCGGUGAAAUGCGUAGAUAUUAGGAGGAACACCAGUGGCGAAGGCGGCUUACUGGACUGUAACUGACACUGAGGCUCGAAAGCGUGGGGAGCAAACAGG